rnacentral:misc_RNA from 1 species
AACGCACAUUGCGCCCUGUGGUAUUCCGCAGGGCAUGCCUGUUCGAGCGUCAUUUCAACCCUCAAGCUCUGCUUGGUGUUGGGCCCCGCCCCCGCGGCCGGCCCCAAAGUCAGUGGCGGCGCCGUCCGGCUCUAAGCGUAGUACAUCUCUCGCUCUAGGGUCCUGCGGUGGCCUGCCAGAACCCCAACUUCUAUGGUUGACCUCGGAUCAGGUAGGGAUACCCGCUGAACUUAA